UACGAAGGGGGCUAGCGUUGCUCGGAAUCACUGGGCGUAAAGGGUGCGUAGGCGGGUCUUUUAAGUCAGGGGUGAAAUCCUGGAGCUCAACCUCCAGAACUGCCUUGAUACUGAAGAUCUUGAGUUCGGGAGAGGUGAGUGGAACUGCGAGUGUAGAGGUGAAAUUCGUAGAUAUUCGCAAGAACACCAGUGGCGAAGGCGGCUCACUGGCCCGAUACUGACGCUGAGGCACGAAAGCGUGGGGAGCAAACA
rnacentral:rRNA from 1 species